rnacentral:misc_RNA from 1 species
AAGUCGUAACAAGGUUUCCGUAGGUGAACCUGCGGAAGGAUCAUUACAAAUCCUGUCGGAUGGAGGGGCAACCUUCCUGAUGGCAUACCAAACAUACAACUCUUGUGAACCUAUUUUGCCUCCCCGCAAGGGGUGGGCAUGCUACCUACAAACAUAACUGUAAUGAAUGUAAACCAAACAUAACAAAAUACAA